rnacentral:rRNA from 1 species
GGGCCCGCACAAGCGGUGGAGUAUGUGGUUUAAUUCGAUGCAACGCGAAGAACCUUACCAGGGCUUAAAUGUAAGUUGCAUAGAUCAGAGAUGGUCUUUUCUUCGGACUACUUACAAGGUGCUGCAUGGUUGUCGUCAGCUCGUGCCGUGAGGUGUCAGGUUAAGUCCUAUAACGAGCGCAACCCCUGUCGUUAGUUACCAGCAAGUAAUGUUGGGUACUCUAGCGAGACUGCCGGUGCAAACCGUGAGGAAGGUGGGGAUGACGUCAAAUCAUCACGGCCCUUACGUCCUGGGCUACACACGUGCUACAAUGGCCGGUACAGAGAGCAGCCACUACGCGAGUAGGAGCGAAUCUUCAAAGCCGGUCUCAGUUCGGAUCGGAGUCUGCAACUCGACUCCGUGAAGCUGGAAUCGCUAG